AGCAAACGCUGGCGGCGUGCCUAACACAUGCAAGUCGUACGAGAAACACGUCCUUCGGGAUGUGCAGUAAAGUGGCGCACGGGUGAGUAACACGUGGGUAACCUGCCCCCGAGAUCGGGGUAACUAGCCGAAAGGCUAGCUAAUACCGGAUAAGACCACAUGGGCUUCGGCUCAAGUGGCCAAAGUCGGCCUCUCAACGAAGCCGGCACUCGAGGAUGGGCCCGCGGACCAUUAGCUUGUUGGCAGGGUAACGGCCUACCAAGGCUAAGAUGGUUAGCUGGUCUGAGAGGAUGAUCAGCCACACUGGAACUGAGACACGGUCCAGACUCCUACGGGAGGUAGCAGUGAGGAAUAUUGCGCAAUGGGGGAAACCCUGACGCAGCGACGCCGCGUGGGUGAAGAAGGCUUUCGGGUUGUAAAGCCCUGUCAGGUGGGAAGAAACCUCCGGAGGUGAAUAGUCUUCGGAACUGACGGUACCACCAAAGGAAGCACCGGCUAACUCCGUGCCAGCCGCCGCAGUAAAAC
rnacentral:rRNA from 1 species